GGAUGUGAGGGCAAUCUGGCUGUGACAUCUGUCACCCCAUUGAUUGCCAGGUUGAUUUGGCUGAUCUGGCUUGCUUGCCGGUGUCCCCUUCCUUCUUCACUGUUCCAUGUGAAUCCUUCCUGAAGAUGCAUGCUCAGUCAAAGAGGAUGACUUUCCCCAAUAGAGGAGAGGACAGUUCUUUGGUCAAGGGUGUACCAGUAGCUGCAUUUCCCCGCUAGAGCCUCCAAACAAGCUCUCAAGGUCCAUUUGUAGGAGAGUAUAGGGUAGUUAAGCUUCCAAGACUCCAGAAACAUCCCAAUGAGGCACUGCAUGUGACAGUCUGCCUUUCUAA
ensembl:misc_RNA 7SK 7SK RNA